UACAGAGGGUGCGAGCGUUUAAUCGGAAUUACUGGGCGUAAAGCGCGCGUAGGCGGCUUUGCAAGUCGGGUGUGAAAUCCCCAGGCUCAACCUGGGAACUGCAUUCGAGACUGCAUUGCUAGAGUAUGGGAGAGGGAAGUGGAAUUUCAGGUGUAGCGGUGAAAUGCGUAGAUAUCUGAAGGAACAUCAGUGGCGAAAGCGACUUCCUGGACCAAUACUGACGCUCAUGUGCGAAAGCGUGGGGAGCAAACAGG
rnacentral:rRNA from 1 species